CGAUUCGCUUUUUUGAAAGUUAUUAUUGAAUUGAAACUCUUAUCUAAAAAGGACAACGACGAAAAGGGCAACGGAAACCAGGGCAACGGUAACAAGGGCAAAGGAAACAAGGGCAAAGGAAACAAGGGCAAAGGAAACAGUCAAGGAAAAGGGAAAAAUUCUUCUGAGGAUGAAGAUGAAGACGACAACAGUAGCAGCAACUCUUCAGAAGAAAAGAACGAAGGAAAAGGAAACAAAAGAAACAAACAAGGCAAAGGAAACAAACAAGUCGGGACGAAAAGUGGAAAAGGUAAAAAGGUAGGACACAAUAAGGCAGAUAAUGAAGAAAUCACUGAUGUUAACAGUGACGCAUCUCUAGCCAAUGCCCAAAACGAAACAACUUUAAAGUCCAUAAUGAAG